rnacentral:rRNA from 1 species
GAGUUUGAUCUUGGCUCAGGACGAACGCUGGCGGCGUGCUUAAUACAUGCAAGUCGAACGGGGUCCAUCCUUCGGGAGAAGACCUAGUGGCGAACGGGUGAGUAACACGUGAGCAACCUGUCCUAAAGACCGGGAUAAGCCAGGGAAACUUGGUCUAAUACCGGAUACCUUCAUCGGGUCCUAUGGCCUGGUGAAGAAAUGUUUUUUCGCUUUAGGAGGGGCUCGCGGCCUAUCAGCUUGUUGGUGGGGUAAUGGCCUACCAAGGCGUCGACGGGUAGCUGGUCUGAGAGGAUGAUCAGCCACACUGGGACUGAGACACGGCCAGACUCCUACGGGAGGCAGCAGUAGGGAAUCUUGCGCAAUGGGCGAAAGCCUGACGCAGCAACGCCGCGUGAGGGAUGACGGCUCGUCGGGUUGUAAACCUCUUUCAGCAGGAACGAAAUUGACGGUACCUGCAGAAGAAGC